rnacentral:lncRNA from 1 species
AGACCUUAGGAAACAGCAGAGCUUCAGUUAUACCAGGGUACACAAGGGCAUAGCCAAUGUGGUGAACUGGUAUGUAGUGUGCCAGGGCUUUGAAUUGGUAUGUCAAUUGGCCUAGAAUAUGUCUUCAGAAUUAAAUAUGGACCACUGGAAGAUGAGUAAUACAAACAAUUCUGUGUGUGCCUCAGUGGCUUUUCUAUGCACACCCCAGAUAAUUAACAAACAAUUAACAUUAAGGAGGAGACUUCCAAGACAGAAUUAAAUGCUCAGCACACCCUUUUUGUAGAAACUUUCUAUUUGGUGCUAUUUAGCAGGGAUAGACUAAUCAUUCUUUCUCACCUCACCACCAUGUAUUUGCAAUAAUUCUAGGAAAGCAUCUGCAUUUCUGGUUAGAGCACUUGUUUUCCCCACAACAAAAAAGGGAGAAGAAAAACCUGUGUGGUCCGUGCAUUGCUUCUAAAAAAAGCAGAAGCCAUGCAGGGCACAAGAGAGAUCUAGGACUGCUUCAUCAGAGGACUCCAUCUUCUUUUACCCACGAGGUAAUGCUCUUACUUUGGCUGUGUUUGAUAUCUUUCUCCAGCUAUGUCAACUCAGCAGGAUCUCCAUCUCUUUCAGCAUGGGUAUUGUCAUGUCUCUCGAUGUGAAGCUACAUACUUCAACACAAAGUGGUGGAGAAUAUACUGGUUGACAUGACCAACUCUUCAUCUACCGAAAGGACAAAGUCAAUUCAUCCAACAUUUUCUGAGGAGAAAUUUGAUACCUCAAACUGAUGCAACAGGCUUGUAGUCUCUAUCUUGGGACAUUAUUUUAAUGUUGAGCCUGACACUGCAAACAUCUGGUCAGGAUGGAUUUUUUGGACUCUUCUAUUUCAUCAUGCCCUCCCUCAAGCUUUGCAGUUCCCAGCCCAAAGAAGGGUCCUGUUCAACUCAGAAUCUCCCCUAUUUUUAAUAUCUUACUGAUCCGAUAAAGCUAUUACCGUCCUUGUUCUUGGAAUUUUCCUAUGAAAUGACUGUUGUACUAAACAAUUAAAACACAUCAAACCAAUAAAACUAUUACCCUCCUUGUUCUUGGAAUUUUC